rnacentral:rRNA from 1 species
ACCAGACUCCUACGGGAGGCAGCAGUGGGGGAUAUUGCACAAUGGGGGGAACCCUGAUGCAGCGACGCCGCGUGGGUGAAGAAGCGCCUCGGCGCGUAAAGCCCUGUCAGCAGGGAAGAAAAUGACGGUACCUGAAGAAGAAGCCCCGGCUAACUACGUGCCAGCAGCCGCGGUAAUACGUAGGGGGCAAGCGUUAUCCGGAUUUACUGGGUGUAAAGGGGGCGCAGACGGCGAUGCAAGUCAGGAGUGAAAGCCCGGGGCCCAACCCCGGGACUGCUCUUGGAACUGCGUGGCUGGAGUGCAGGAGGGGCAGGCGGAAUUCCUGGUGUAGCGGUGAAAUGCGUAGAUAUCAGGAGGAACACCGGUGGCGAAGGCGGCCUGCUGGACGGCAACUGACGUUGAGGCCCGAAAGCGUGGGGAGCAAACAGGAUUAGAUACCCGAGUAGCG